rnacentral:SRP_RNA from 2 species
GCUGGGCGUGGUGGCUCACGCCUGUAAUCCCAGCACUUUGGGAGGCUGAGGUGGGAGGAUCACUUGAGGUCAGGAGUUCGAUUCGAGAACGGCCUGGCCACUAUGGUGAAACCCCGUCUCUA